ACUUGCAGGAGUAACCUAGUGCCUAUAGCUAUGGCAGGUACCUGCAUCCUUGUUUUUGUUUAGUGGAUCCUCUAUCCUUCAGAGACUCUGGAACCCCUGUGCUCUUCUCCUCAUCUAGUGACCCUGAGGUGAUGGAGUUUUCAAGUCCUUCCAGAGAGGAAUGUCCCAAGCCUUCGGGUAGGGUAAGCAUCAUGGCUGGCAGCCUCACAGGAUUGCUUCUACUUCAGGCAGUGUCGUGGGCAUCAGAUGAGUGAGUCAAGGCAGUGGGGAGGUGCCUUCAGCCGCUACAAGAGCAGAAGCAGUGGGCAUUGGAUGGAGCUGAGUACAGGACCAUACAGGCUAAUUGCACCGGCACAGGAAUCGGAUAUAACAUCAUCUGGGUACCCAUGGCCAGCUGUGACUUCUCCAUCCGCACCUACACCUAUGCAGACACCCCUGAUGAUUUCCAGUUGCACAACUUCAGCCUCCCAGAGGAAGAUACCAAGCUCAAGAUACCCCUGAUUCACCGAGCCCUGCAGUUGGCCCAGCGUCCCGUUUCACUCCUUGCCAGCCCCUGGACAUCACCCACUCGGCUCAAGACCAGGGGAGCGGGGAAUGGGAAGGGGCCACUCAAGGGACAGCCCAGAGACAUCUACCACCAGACCUGGGCCAGAUACAUUGUGAAGUUCCUGGAUGCCUAUGCUGAGCACAAGUUACAGUUCUGGGCAGUGACAGCUGAAAAUGAGCCUUCUGCUGGGCUGUUGAGUGGAUACCCCUUCCAGUGCCUGGGCUUCACCCCUGAACAUCAGCGAGACUUCAUUGCCCGUGACCUAGGUCCUACCCUUGCCAACGGUACUCACCACAAUGUCCGCCUACUCAUGCUGGAUGACCAACGCUUGCUGCUGCCCCACUGGGCAAAGGUGGUACUGACAGACCCAGAAGCAGCUAAGUAUGUUCAUGGUAUUGCUGUACAUUGGUACCUGGACUUUCUGGCUCCAGCCAAAGCCACCCUAAGGGAGACACACCACCUGUUCCCCAACACCAUGCUCUUUGCCUCAGAGGCCUGUGUGGGUUCCAAGUUCUGGGAGCAGAGUGUGCGGCUAGGCUCCUGGGAUCGAGGGAUGCAGUACAGCCACAGCAUCAUCACAAACCUCCUGUACCAUGUGGUCGGCUGGACCGACUGGAACCCAUCAUUGUAGACAUCACCAAGCACACGUUUUACAAACAGCCCAUGUUCUACCACCUUGGCCACUUCAGCAAGUUCAUUCCUGAGGGCUCCCAGAGAGUGGGGCUGGUUGCCAGUCAGAAGAACGACCCGGACGCAGUGGCACUGAUGCAUCCCGAUGGCUCUGCUGUUGUGGUCGUGCUAAACCGCUCCUCUAAGGAUGUGCCUCUUACCAUCAAGGAUCCUGCUGUGGGCUUCCUGGAGACAAUCUCACCUGGCUACUCCAUUCACACCUACCUGUGGCGUCGCCAGUGAUGGAGCAGAUACUCAAGGAGGCACUGGGCUCAGCCUGGGCAUUAAAGGGACAGAGUCAGCUCACACGCUGUCUGUGACUAAAGAGGGCACAGCAGGGCCAGUGUGAGCUUACAGCGACGUAAGCCCAGGGGCAAUGGUUUGGGUGACUCACUUUCCCCUCUAGGUGGUGCCAGGGGCUGGAGGCCCCUAGAAAAAGAUCAGUAAGCCCCAGUGUCCCCCCAGCCCCCAUGCUUAUGUGAACAUGCGCUGUGUGCUGCUUGCUUUGGAAACUGGGCCUGGGUCCAGGCCUAGGGUGAGCUCACUGUCCGUACAAACACAAGAUCAGGGCUGAGGGUAAGGAAAAGAAGAGACUAGGAAAGCUGGGCCCAAAACUGGAGACUGUUUGUCUUUCCUGGAGAUGCAGAACUGGGCCCGUGGAGCAGCAGUGUCAGCAUCAGGGCGGAAGCCUUAAAGCAGCAGCGGGUGUGCCCAGGCACCCAGAUGAUUCCUAUGGCACCAGCCAGGAAAAAUGGCAGCUCUUAAAGGAGAAAAUGUUUGAGCCCA
ensembl:lncRNA GBA1LP glucosylceramidase beta 1 like, pseudogene